AGUGAACGCUGGCGGUAGGCCUAACACAUGCAAGUCGAACGGCAGCACAGUAAGAGCUUGCUCUUACGGGUGGCGAGUGGCGGACGGGUGAGGAAUACAUCGGAAUCUACUUUUUCGUGGGGGAUAACGUAGGGAAACUUACGCUAAUACCGCAUACGACCUACGGGUGAAAGCAGGGGAUCUUCGGACCUUGCGCGAUUGAAUGAGCCGAUGUAGGAUUAGCUAGUUGGCGGGGUAAAGGCCCACCAAGGCGACGAUCCGUAGCUGGUCUGAGAGGAUGAUCAGCCACACUGGAACUGAGAAACGGUCCAGACUCCUACGGGAGGCAGCAGUGGGGAAUAUUGGACAAUGGGCGCAAGCCUGAUCCAGCCAUACCGCGUGGGUGAAGAAGGCCUUCUGGUUGUAAAGCCCUUUUGUUGGGAAAGAAAAGCAGCAGGUUAAUACCCCGCUGUUCUGACGGUACCCAAAGAAUAAGCACCGGCUAACUUCGUG
rnacentral:rRNA from 1 species